UGGGUGUCAAAAAGCAUCAUCAUAUCCCUCAUAAAGGAUUGGAAAAUCAAGAGAGACACAGACAACUCCGUAUGAACAUAUGCAUGAACAAACUUUCAUUUAAAAUUUCUUUUAGCCUGAAGAGGAUCAGAUAGUCGAUCUUUGGCUCGCCAAACUGCAUCAAAAGAUGCAAGUGAGACUGUGUGUCAAUGGCUUAUCAUCAUAUCAAGGCUAAACUCAAUUGGGAAAACAAAAAAUUAUAUUAAAUUUACCAGUUACCAAAAUCAAAAUCAAAAACAUUAGGUACAAGUUUAUAAACACAAAAACACAGAAAUAUAAGAAAGACUUGGGUAUCAGAUAAAAAUGUCAAUCACCAACUUG
rnacentral:misc_RNA from 1 species